rnacentral:rRNA from 1 species
CGUGUCGUGAGAUGUUGGGUUAAGUCCCGCAACGAGCGCAACCCUUGACCUUAGUUGCCAGCAUUGAGUUGGGCACUCUAAGGUGACUGCCGGUGACAAACCGGAGGAAGGUGGGGAUGACGUCAAAUCAUCAUGCCCCUUAUGACCUGGGCUACACACGUGCUACAAUGGAUGGUACAAAGGGCUGCGAGACCGCGAGGUUAAGCCAAUCCCAGCAAACCAUUCCCAGUUCGGAUUGCAGGCUGCAACCCGCCUGCAUGAAGCCGGAAUCGCUAGUAAUCGCGGAUCAGCAUGCCGCGGUGAAUACGUUCCCGGGCCUUGUACACACCGCCCGUCACACCACGAGAGUUUGUAACACCCGAAGUCGGUGAGGUAACCUUUACGGAGCCAGCCGCCGAAGGUGGGACAGAUGAUUGGGGU